AGAGUUUGAUCCUGGCUCAGGACGAACGCUGGCGGUGCGCCUUAUGCAUGCAAGUCGAGCGAAGCUUUUCAGUAGUUUACUACAGAAAAUGACUGAGCGGCGAACGGGUGAGUAACGCGUGAGCAACCUACCUUAGUUACUGGGAUAGCCCGAGGAAACUCGGAUUAAUACCGGAUAUUCUUAUUUAAUCACAUGAUUUUUUAAGGAAAGGUCAGCCGAACUAAGAUGGGCUCGCGUUCUAUCAGCUAGUUGGUAGGGUAAUGGCCUACCAAGGCUACGACGGAUAGCUGGUCUGAGAGGACGAUCAGCCACACUGGGACUGAGACACGGCCCAGACUCCUACGGGAGGCUGCAGCAGGGAAUAUUGCGCAAUGAGCGAAAGCUUGACGCAGCGACACCGCGUGUGGGAUGACGGAUCUAGGUUUGUAAACCACUUUCAGGAGGGAAGAAAAUGACGGUACCUCCACAAGAAGCCCCGGCCAACUACGUGCCAGCAGCCGCGGUAAUACGUAGGGGGCGAGCGUUGUCCGGAUUUAUUGGGCGUAAAGAGCUCGUAGGCGGUUCAACAAGUCGGUCGUGAAAGUUCAGGGCUCAACCCUGAAAUGUCGAUCGAUACUGUUGUGACUAGGAUACGGUAGAGGUGAGUGGAAUUCCGAGUGUAGCGGUGAAAUGCGUAGAUAUUCGGAGGAACACCAAUUGCGAAGGCAGCUCACUGGGCCGCUAUCGACGCUGAGGAGCGAAAGCUAGGGGAGCAAACAGGAUUAGAUACCCUGGUAGUCCUAGCUGUAAACGAUGGAUACUAGACGUAGGAAUUGGAUUAACGAUUUCUGUGUCGUAGCUAACGCGUUAAGUAUCCCGCCUGGGGAGUACGGUCGCAAGACUAAAAC
rnacentral:rRNA from 1 species